rnacentral:lncRNA from 1 species
GAAAAGAACUGUCUUAUCCUUGUUUAGGGGCAAAUAAGGGUUGCCUCAGAUCGAACUAAAUACUCAGGGCAAAUUUGAGGAUACAAAGAAGAAAUAGCUUUUUCAGUCAUAGACCAAAAAGAACAGUCCGAUAAUGAACUUACAUCUUAUUUGAGGAGAGAAGUACAACCACUCUUUCACAUAAGGAUGUUUCUUCAGAGUGAACAAUACUCUAAAAAUAGAGCACCUCAGGAUAAUGUGGAGCUAACUACAAAGGAUAACAAAAAUAAUGACCACCUAAGUCGACUUCGGGGUGAUCUAAAUUGGAAGAAUUCUAUAGAAGUCAAGAAUUUUGCUGAUGAAAGGGGGGAGAGGCAGACGAAGAUCGAUCUGGAGAGACUCCUUGUACAGGGCAAGUCGGCCCCCCAAGGCAUCGAUCACACUACCAUCCUGACCAAAAAUUUCUAGUUGAAAGGCCGAAGAGAUGAAAAAUUGAAAAUAAAAUCUUCCAAGGUUGUCCUUAGUAACACUCGAUUCUUCAUUACUUGGGCCCC